AUGGCCGGCUCCGACGAUGAUCAGAAAGGUCUGCGACUCUCGCCAGUCUCAUCCGCCGAUCUGCUCUGCCUUGCGGGCAUAAUAAGUUCUCUUGUUGCUGUGGAAUUUUGCAGUCGUGGUGUGCUUACGCUCGCUCGGCAGCGCGCCGAUGCUGAGGCGAAACAAGUUCAAGAUUUCGGGACGAGAGAAAUUCUCGAAGAUUAUCGAAUUUCUUCGCGGACAACUUCAGAAGGAUACGCUGUUUGUCUAUGUCCACAGUGCAUUUUCACUAAACCCAUUUUCACCAAAACCAGACGAGCUGCUAAUCGACUUAUAUAA
rnacentral:rRNA from 1 species